UGGCUCAGUGGUAGAGCGCUUGCCUUGCAUGCUUGAGGCCCUGGGUUCGAUUUCUCAG
rnacentral:tRNA from 1 species